AACCUUUAGCCAAACAAAUAUUAAAGGCAACGCCUGCCCAGUGAACAAUUAAACGGCCGCGGUACACUAACCGUGCAAAGGUAGCAUAAUAAUUUGUCUACUAAUUAUAGACCUGCAUGAAAGGCAAAAUGAGGGUUUAACUGUCUCUUAUAGUAAAUCAAUUAAACUGAUCUUCUAGUAAAAAAGCUAGAAUUACCACAUAAGACCAGAAGACCCUGUGAAGCUUAAACUAAACUAUUAAACCAAAUAAUAACUACUUUAGGUUGGGGCGACCUUGGAAAAAAAAAUAACUUCCAAAAGUCUAACGACACAAAAGGCCGACAAGCCAUAUUAAACGACCCAGCAACGCUGAAAAUUGAACCAAGUUACUCCAGGGAUAACAGCGCAAUCUUCUUCAAGAGCCCAUAUCAAAAAGAAGGUUUACGACCUCGAUGUUGGAUCAGGACAUCCUAAUGGUGCAGAAGCUAUUAAGGGUUCGUUUGUUCAACGAUUAAUAGUCCC
rnacentral:rRNA from 1 species